rnacentral:rRNA from 1 species
UAGAGUUUGAUCCUGGCUCAGAAUCAACGCUGGCGGCGUGCCUAACACAUGCAAGUCGAACGCGAAAGGGGAGCAAUCCCUGAGUAGAGUGGCAAACGGGUGAGUAACACGUGGGUGACCUGCCUUCGAGUGGGGGAUAACGUCCCGAAAGGGACGCUAAUACCGCAUGACAUCCUGCUUUUGGAAAAGCGGAGAUCAAAGCCGGGGAUCGCAAGACCUGGCGCUUGAAGAGGGGCCCGCGCCUGAUUAGCUAGUUGGUGAGGUAACGGCUCACCAAGGCAACGAUCAGUAUCCGGCCUGAGAGGGCGGACGGACACACUGGGACUGAGACACGGCCCAGACUCCUACGGGAGGCAGCAGUGGGGAAUUGUUCGCAAUGGGCGCAAGCCUGACGACGCAACGCCGCGUGGAGGACGAAGAUCUUCGGGUC